rnacentral:rRNA from 1 species
GAAUGAACAGGGAAAAGCCCAGCACCGAAGCCUGUGGCCAUUUGGUCACUAGGCAAUGUGGUGUUCAGGUCGUUCCGCAGAGGUACUGCUCCACCCUAAGUCCAGCAAUGAGUACGGCUUUAUGGACGUGGCCCAUAGAGGGUGAAAGGCCCGUGGGGGUGGAGACUCGGUAUGACGGUAUCUCUCUGGGUAGACCUUGGAGUCGGGUUGUUUGUGAAUGCAGCCCAAAGUGGGUGGUAAACUCCAUCCAAGGCUAAAUACUAGCACGAGUCCGAUAGCGAACAAGUACCGUGAGGGAAAGUUGAAAAGUACUUUGAAGAGAGAGUAAACAGUGCGUGAAACCGCUCAGAGGUAAACGGGUGGAGUUGAACUGCAAGCUUUGCGGAUUCAGCUGGUGAGUAUGAUUUGAGCUUGGUCAAAUUGAUUGAGCUACGGGGUCUGCAUAUGGGCAGGUCUCUGUCUUUUGGCAGAGAUGCGCGAUGCACCUAACAAGUGCUGUGCGCCUCGGAGCAUCGGAUCGACUCGCCAGUGCACUUUCGCAGAGUGUUCACCACGACCGGCAUUGUCGUCUGACUGUUGCGGUUAAACCGGCCUUGCAUUGUCCUUGUGGCUUUGCCUGGUCGGGAUGGCAGGUAGCUCGUUGGUAAUUCGUAGCUUGCUGCGGUUGCUUUCGGGUGUAAUCAGCUGACUGUGAUGGUUCUGUGCGAUAUGUCGGAGACGGCGGCUUGUGGUGUGUGCGUGCGUGCCAGUUUCGUGAGCAUAUCCGUUUCUGAUUGUCAUGUUGCCUGCGUAAAGUAGGCCUGGCAGUGUCUCGGGUUUGUCUUAUGGACGGUCGCGUAUGUGGCACUUCUCAGGGCCAAUAGUCUGUGGUGUAGUGGUAGACGAUCCACCUGACCCGUCUUGAAACACGGACCAAGGAGAGUAACAUGUGCGCGAGUCAUUGGGCGAAACGAAACCCAAAGGCGCAGUGAAAGUAAAGGCUUGGCUUGUCCUUGCUGAGGUGAGAUCCUGCCGUUUCUCAUGCGCGGUACUACCAAGCAUCGAGCGGUAGGCGCAUCACCGGCCCGUCCCAUGACGUAGACACAUAGUCUUUGUACCAGUGCAUCGUCGGGGCGGAGCAUGAGCGUACAUGUUGAGACCCGAAAGAUGGUGAACUAUGCUUGCGCAGGUUGAAGCCAGAGGAAACUCUGGUGGAGGACCGCAGCG